GACGAACGCUGGCGGCGUGCUUAACACAUGCAAGUCGAACGAAGAGCGAUGGAAGCUUGCUUCUAUCACUUUCAGUGGCGAACGGGUGAGUAACGCGUAAUCAACCUGCCCUUCAGAGGGGGACAACAGUUGGAAACGACUGCUAAUACCGCAUACGAUCUAACCUCGGCAUCGAGGAUAGAUGAAAGGUGGCCUCUACAUGUAAGCUAUCAAUGAAGAAGGGGAUUGCGUCUGAUUAGCUAGUUGGAGGGGUAACGGCCCACCAAGGCGAUGAUCAGUAGCCGGUCUGAGAGGAUGAACGGCCACACUGGGACUGAGACACGGCCCAGACUCCUACGGGAGGCAGCAGUAGGGAAUCUUCCGCAAUGGACGAAAGUCUGACGGAGCAACGCCGCGUGAGUGAUGACGGCCUUCGGGUUGUAAAGCUCUGUUAAUCGGGACGAAAGGCCUUCUUGCGAAUAGUUAGAAGGAUUGACGGUACCGGAAUAGAAAGCCACGGCUAACUACGUG
rnacentral:rRNA from 1 species